UACGUAGGGUGCAAGCGUUGUCCGGAAUUAUUGGGCGUAAAGGGCUCGUAGGUGGCCAACUAAGUCAGACGUGAAAUCCCUCGGCUUAACCGGGGAACUGCGUCUGAUACUGGAUGGCUUGAGUUCGGGAGAGGGAUGCGGAAUUCCAGGUGUAGCGGUGAAAUGCGCAGAUAUCAGGAGGAACACCGGUGGCGAAGGCGGGUCUCUGGGCCGUAACUGACGCUGAGGAGCGAAAGCGUGGGGAGCGAACAGG
rnacentral:rRNA from 1 species